UACGUAGGUUGCAAGCGUUGUCCGGAAUUAUUGGGCUUAAAGCGCGCGCAGGUGGUUUCUUAAGUCUGAUGUGAAAGCCCACGGCUCAACCGUGGAGGGUCAUUGGAAACUGAGGAACUUGAGUGCAGGAGAGAAGAGUGGAAUUCCACGUGUAGCGGUGAAAUGCGUAGAGAUGUGGAGGAACACCAGUGGCGAAGGCGACUCUUUGGCCUGUAACUGACGCUGAGGCGCGAAAGCGUGGGGAGCAAACAGG
rnacentral:rRNA from 1 species